GACGAACGCUGGCGGCGUGCCUAAUACAUGCAAGUCGACCUUAGUGGGGACGGGUGAGUAACACGUGGAUAACCUCCUAUAAGACUGGGAUAACUUCGGGAAACUGGAGCUAAACCGGAUACUCCUAGUUGGUUCUGCGCUGCAUUAGCUAGUUGGUAGGGUAAAGGCUUACCAAGGCAUCGAUGCACAGCCGACUUGAGAGGGUGAUCGGCCACACUGGAACUGAGACACGGUCCAGACUCCUACGGGAGGCAGCAGUAGGGAAUCUUCCGCAAUGGGCGAAAGCCUGACGGAGCAACGCCGCGUGAGUGAUGAAGGUCUUCGGAUCGUAAAACUCUGUUAUUAGGGAAGCGGUACCUAAUCAGAAAGCCACGGCUAACUACGUGCCAGCCGCCGCGGUAAUAC
rnacentral:rRNA from 1 species